rnacentral:rRNA from 1 species
UCGAUUUGGAGGGCAAGUCUGGUGCCAGCAGCCGCGGUAAUUCCAGCUCCAAUAGCGUAUAUUAAAGUUGUUGCAGUUAAAAAGCUCGUAGUUGAAUUUCGGGGUUAGUAGGUUGGUCAUGCCUCUGGUAUGUACUGGUCUCACUGAUUCCUCCUUCCUUAUGAACCGUAAUGCCAUUAAUUUGGUGUUGCGGGGAAUUUGGACUGUUACUUUGAAAAAAUUAGAGUGUUUAAAGCAAGCUAACGCUUGAAUACAUUAGCAUGGAAUAAUGAAAUAGGACGUUCGAUCUUAUUUUGUUGGUUUCUAGGAUUGACGUAAUGAUUAAUAGGGAUAGUUGGGGGCAUUAGUAUUCAAUUGUCAGAGGUGAAAUUCUUGGAUUUAUUGAAGACUAACUACUGCGAAAGCAUUUGCCAAGGAUGUUUUCAUUAAUCAAGAACGAAAGUUAGGGGAUCGAAGACGAUCAGAUACCGUCGUAGUCUUAACCAUAAACUAUGCCGACUAGGGAUCGGAUGAUGUUAAUUUUUUAAUGACUCAUUCGGCGCCUUACGGGAAACA